UACGUAGGGUGCAAGCGUUGUCCGGAUUCAUUGGGCGUAAAGAGCUCGUAGGCGGCUUAGUAAGUCAGGUGUGAAACCUCCAGGCUCAACCUGGAGACGCCACUUGAUACUGCUAUGGCUCGAGUUUGGUAGGGGUAAGCGGAAUUCCUGGUGUAGCGGUGAAAUGCGCAGAUAUCAGGAGGAACACCGAUGGCGAAGGCAGCUUACUGGGCCAAAACUGACGCUGAGGAGCGAAAGCGUGGGGAGCGAACAGG
rnacentral:rRNA from 1 species